rnacentral:rRNA from 1 species
GACGAACGCUGGCGGCGUGCCUAAUACAUGCAAGUAGAACGCACAGUUUAUACCAUAGCUUGCUACACCAUAGACUGUGAGUUGCGAACGGGUGAGUAACGCGUAGGUAACCUGCCUGGUAGCGGGGGAUAACUAUUGGAAACGAUAGCUAAUACCGCAUAAUAUUAAUUAUUGCAUGAUAAUUAAUUGAAAGGUGCAAUUGCACCACUACCAGAUGGACCUGCGUUGUAUUAGCUAGUAGGUGAGGUAACGGCUCACCUAGGCGACGAUACAUAGCCGACCUGAGAGGGUGAUCGGCCACACUGGGACUGAGACACGGCCCAGACUCCUACGGGAGGCAGCAGUAGGGAAUCUUCGGCAAUGGACGAAAGUCUGACCGAGCAACGCCGCGUGAGUGAAGAAGGUUUUCGGAUCGUAAAGCUCUGUUGUAAGAGAAGAACGGGUGUGAGAGUGGAAAGUUCACACUGUGACGGUAUCUUACCAGAAAGGGGCGGCUAACUACGUG